UCUGGUCUGUAACUGACGNUGAGGCUCGAAAGCGUGGGGAGCAAACAGGAUUAGAUACCNUGGUAGUCCACGCCGUAAACGAUGAGUGCUAGGUGUUAGGCCCUUUCCGGGGCUUAGUGCCGCAGCUAACGCAUUAAGCACUCCGCCUGGGGAGUACGACCGCAAGGUUGAAACUCAAAGGAAUUGACGGGGGCCCGCACAAGCGGUGGAGCAUGUGGUUUAAUUCGAAGCAACGCGAAGAACCUUACCAGGUCUUGACAUCCCUCUGACCGCUCUAGAGAUAGAGUUUUCCUUCGGGACAGAGGUGACAGGUGGUGCAUGGUUGUCGUCAGCUCGUGUCGUGAGAUGUUGGGUUAANNNNNNCAACGAGCGCAACCCCUAUUGUUAGUUGCCAUCAUUGAGUUGGGCACUCUAGCGAGACUGCCGGUAAUAAACCGGAGGAAGGUGGGGAUGACGUCAAAUCAUCAUGCCCCUUAUGACCUGGGCUACACACGUGCUACAAUGGCUGGUACAACGAGUCGCAAGCCGGUGACGGCAAGCUAAUCUCUGAAAGCCAGUCUCAGUUCGGAUUGUAGGCUGCAACUCGCCUACAUGAAGUCGGAAUCGCUAGUAAUCGCGGAUCAGCACGCCGCGGUGAAUACGUUCCCGGGCCUU
rnacentral:rRNA from 1 species